rnacentral:rRNA from 1 species
UACGAAGGGGGCUAGCGUUGUUCGGAAUUACUGGGCGUAAAGCGCACGUAGGCGGAUCGAUCAGUCAGGGGUGAAAUCCCAGGGCUCAACCCUGGAACUGCCUUUGAUACUGUCGAUCUGGAGUAUGGAAGAGGUGAGUGGAAUUCCGAGUGUAGAGGUGAAAUUCGUAGAUAUCUGGAGGAACACCAGUGGCGAAGGCGACUUUCUGGCCUGUUCUUGACGCUGAGGCGCGAAAGCUAGGGGAGCAAACGGG